GCAGGUGGUUAUAUGUGCUAUUUCUGCCCCCGGGAAGCCACUGAUUUAAUUCUAGAACAUAUCCUAUUAUGCCAUAACGAAGUAGGAAAGACAUUUAGUAUUUGUCAAAAACCGUUUGACGAGAAAUUAGUGGCUACAGUUUUCAUGUCACUUCGAUCAUUUUUCAUGGAUGAUAUCACAACUUAAAAGUUAUGAUGAACAAGGGAUAACUUUGAAAAGAGUUUUACAGUGUCAUUUCGGAGUCUUUUAUAGCUGACUAUGCGGUAUGGGCUUUGUUCAUUGUUGAAGACCGUACGAUGACCUAUAUUUGUUAAUUUCUGAGUCAUGUUGGUCUCUUGUGGAAAGUUGUCUCAUUGGCAAACAUACCACAUCUUCUUAUUUAUAUUAGCUACUUCAUGACUGUCACUGAAAUUUCAGUACCUCAGAUAUAAACUAUAAACAACACAAAUUUAAUUUUGAAUUAUGAUAAUAUGACAUCCUUAAAACAUUUAAUGCUAUAUAAGACUAGAGAAAGAUUGGCC
rnacentral:lncRNA from 1 species